rnacentral:lncRNA from 10 species
UUAGUAGGAACAGGAUCUUUCUUGAACACUGCCUGGGGACUGGGGUCCUGGGACUGCCAGCAAGCAGUGUCUCCAGAGCCUGGGGUCAUGGGAGUCACAGCUGGAAUUCCACUUGUGGGUAGGUGUGGGGUGGGAAUGAGACGGGGUGGGGGCUGGGUGUGAAUGAGGUGGAGCGCGGUGGGUGGGAGGGCUCUUUAAGCUUCUUCCAAGUUUAAGUCUACCACCGAGCUGGGAAAUCCAGCCUCUUCCAUUGCCCAAUCCCCUAAGGGCUAAUAUGGAGACAUCCUGCCCUGCCGCCC